UACGUAGGGGGGCAAGCGUUGUCCGGAUUUAUUGGGCGUAAAGAGCGUGUAGGCGGCUAGGUAGGUCCGUUGUGAAAAACUCGAGGCUCAACCUCGAGACGCCGAUGGAAACCAUCUAGCUAGAGUCCGGAAGAGGAGAGUGGAAUUCCUGGUGUAGCGGUGAAAUGCGCAGAUAUCAGGAAGAACACCCGUGGCUAAGGCGGCUCUCUAGUACGGUACUGACGCUGAGACGCGAAAGCGUGGGGAGCGAACAGG
rnacentral:rRNA from 1 species